rnacentral:ncRNA from 2 species
UUAAAUAAUUGUGUAAUGGGCAAUCGCCGUGAAAAUCGGUGGCAGUGCCGCUACUGUUAAAGUCAGAAAACCAUUACAUAC